AAAAAAUAAUUCUGUUUCGCGUAGAGAAAAAAUAGAGAGAGAAAGACGAAAACGAGAGGAAGAUCGAUGAGCCGUGAAGUUGGAACGUCGAGCUCUCUCGACGGUCGAGGAAAGUCUAGUUUCGUAGGACGAUGAUCGAGGAUACGCGGACUCGUGGGGCGUGCGGGACCCCUUGGGAAUCGGGCUAAUCCACGGAACGAGAUUGAUUUAAGAGUUUCGAUUUGCGAAUAACUGCGCUUCGAG